rnacentral:rRNA from 1 species
UACGAGGGGGGCAAGCGUUGUUCGGAUUUAUUGGGCGUAAAGGGUGCGUAGGCGGUUUGGCAAGUCUGAUGUGAAAUUUAUGGGCUCAACCCAUAGUCUGCAUCAGAAACUGCCGGGCUUGAGUAUGGGAGAGGUGAGUGGAAUUUCCGGUGUAGCGGUGAAAUGCGUAGAGAUGUGGAGGAACACCAGUGGCGAAGGCGACUCUUUGGCCUGUAACUGACGCUGAGGCGCGAAAGCGUGGGGAGCAAACAGG